UAGAGACCGGCGCACGGGUGCGUAACGCGUAUGCAAUCUACCUUAUACAGGGGAAUAGCCCAGGGAAAUUUGGAUUAAUACCUCAUAGUAUUAUAGAAUGGCAUCAUUUUAUAAUUAAAGAUUUAUCGGUGAAAGAUGAGCAUGCGUCCCAUUAGCUAGUUGGUAUGGUAACGGCAUACCAAGGCAACGAUGGGUAGGGGUCCUGAGAGGGAGAUCCCCCACACUGGUACUGAGACACGGACCAGACUCC
rnacentral:rRNA from 1 species